CUUAAAUUCGCCACCUGUGGUGAAUUCUGUUCUAGAGAAAUGCUUUUAUUUAUUUAUUUAUUUAUUUGAGGAAGGUUAGGCCUGAGCUAACUGCCGCCAAUCCUCCUCUUUUUGCUGAGGAAGGCUGGCCCUGAGCUAACAUCCGUGCCCAUCUUCCUCUACUUUAUACAUGGGAUGCCUACCACAGCACGGCGUGCCAGUCAGUGCCAUGUUCGCACCGGGAUCUGAACCGGCAAACCCCAGGCCACCGAGAAGCGGAACGUGCGAACUUAACUGCUGUGCCACCGGGCAGCCCCCGAGAAAUGCUUUUAAACUUGAACUUGCAUAGGAAUCACGGGGGCUUGUGAACACAUAGAUGGCUGGGCUCACCCCCAGAAUUUCUGAUUCAGCAGGGCUGGGAGAGGGCCUGAGAAUUUGCAUUUUAACCAGCUCCCAGGUGAAGCUGAUGUGGCCGGUCCAGAGAUCACACUUGAAAAUUCGAGAGCAGUGAAUUAUCCCCAAUUUACUGCAGUCUAUUUCCUGCUCCCUGUCUUUUUCUGGACAGGUCAGGGUUCACCCAGCCUCACUGCUCCUCUUCCCCCUUUGGCUGAAAGCCGCGUCCUUCUGGGAACCCUUUGCAGCGUCAGUCCCUAUGGCUCACGUCUUGUCCAGCUGAUUUGGCGGUGGUUGGUGAACCUGGGCCUGGCUCUUCCUCAUACUCUGGAGGACCUCACCAAAAAUCCUCUACCAUGGCCUGCCGAGAGGUCUCAGGCUAGUGGCCACUGCAGGUCUCUGUGGUCUGACCACGUUGGCCCACCUGGUGGUUUUGGAAACAUCUGGGUCUGGCUGUGCAGGUGUGUGCCUGGGAGACCCUGGGUGAAGGCUGUCAUCAUUUCUUGCCAGGGUUGUGGUCUCCAUCUCCUGCUCUGGCCUGCUGCCCGGCUCCCUCUGCUCUAGCCUCCAUGCAAAGCCAGAGUCCUCCUAACACACAGCAUGGCUUUUGCCAAACGGUGCUGUGUCCGCACUCUGGAUCCGAACCGGCGAACCCCGGGCCGCUGAGAAGCAGAACAUGUGAAUUUAACUGCUGCGCCGCUGGGUUGGUCCCAACCUGAAACCUUUUUCUCUGGCCCUACUCGCCUCUCCAUCGUCUUCUCUCUGGUGAGGCAUUUUGAUUUUCACAUCCUGAGCUUUCUGCCUAGAACAUCCUCGUGUUAUUUCUUUGCUUAUUUAAUUCCUUUUAAUCUUUCUUAGCCUAAGGAUAAGUCCUUACAUAACUCUCUGUGUGAUUCUGGCACAUGUAAGUUUAUGGAAUGAACAAAUGCAUGAAUGAAUAAAUGACUAAAUAAGAAUACAGAAAAUGGGUUUUUAAAAAUUGCGGUAAGGGGCUGGCCCCGUGGCCGAGUGGUUAAGUUUGCGCGCUCCGCUGCAGGUGGCCCAGUGUUUCGUUGGUUCGAAUCCUGGGUGCGGACAUGGCACUGCUCAUCAAACCACGCUGAGGCAGCGUCCCACAUGCCACAACUAGAAGAACCCACAACGAAGAAUAUACAACUAUGUACCGGGAGCUUUGGGGAGAAAAAAGGAAAAAAUAAAAUCUUUAAAAAAAAAAUAAAAAAAUAAAAAAUAAAAAUUGCGGUAAAAUACACGUUACAUAAAAUUUACCAUCUUAAGCAUUUUUUUGGUGUACAGUUAAGUGGCAUUAAGUAUAUUCACAUUGUUGCACAGCCAUCACCACUGUCUCCAGAACAUUAUUCAACUUGUGAAACAAACUCUGGACCCAUUAACCACUGGCUCCCUAUUUCCCUGUCCCCCCCAGGCCCUGGCGACCACCCUUCUGAUUUCUGUCUCUCUGAAGCUCUAGAUGCUCCAUCUCAGUGGAAUCAUACAGGAUCUAUUUCGCUUACAGGGCUUAUUUCACUUAGCAUAAUGUCCUCAAGCUUCCACGUUGUUGCUUGUGUCAGAAUCUCCUCCCCUUUAUGGUUGAAGAAUGUUCUAUUAGACCACUUGUUGUUUAUCCUUUCAUACAGAGAAUGGGUUUUUGUCCAGGAGUUUAAUAUUCAGCUUUGUAUGAAAUAGCAAAAGAGGGGGCCGGCCCUGUGGCCGAGUGGUUAGGGUCGUGCGCUCCGAUUUGGCAGCCCAGGGUUUCACUGGUUUGGAUCCUGGGCAUGGACAUGGCACUGCUCAUCAAGCCGUGCUGAGGCAGCAUCCCACAUGCCACAACUGGAAGGACCCACAACUAAAAAAAAAUAUACAACCAUGGACCGGGGGGCUUUGGGGAGAAAAAGGAAAAAAAAUAAAAUCUUUAACAAAAAAAGAAGAAAUGGCAAAAGACUGGAAGCCAUCUCAAUGUCCGCGUGUAGGGGUCAGUGAUACAAAACAGGCCUAUCCUUCCAGUGGGAUCCAGUGUAGCAUCGAUCGAGUGGGGCCUCUCCAUCUGCACUGAGAUGGAACACUCACCAAAACAGAAUAUUAAGGUAUUGACAACUGUGUAGACCUGUUUUACCUUUGGUAUAUGACCAAAAAAAAAAAAAAAUCCCCAAACAACAACUAGGGGCUGGGUAUAGAGGUACAUGCUUUCCCUAGUUCCCAGAGGCUGCCCCUGGGGGAGGGAACCACAGGAUGUCGUUUUCUCUCUGUGUUCUUUUGUAUCUUUUGUACCAGGCAUUGCAUAUUUCCUAUUGAAAAAAAUGUUGGAAAGAAUGCAAAUACCCUGUCCAGAGGGAGAAGUGAUUAAUUUCCUGCAGAUCUUACACAGGGAGCGAUGCUUUGUGCUUACAAUUACUUAUUAAAUCAAGUCAGCAAGAAAGGCCUAAAUUUAAUUAAACUUGGUUGGUUAAUUCUCUUGCCGCUCAGUAAAGAUUAGCCACAGAUCUGAUUCUUUGACCACCCCGGGGAUUUUUAAUAACCGCAGCUUAUCAACAGGAUAGCGAUCAGAUAUGUGCAGUACCCAGAAAUUGACCUGAAAAAGCUCCAGCCAGGUGAACUGAAGGACAGAGCGUGGGCUUUAUCCACCGGGCCUCUCAGUCGCUGUUCAAGUGCAGGCUUUUGAGUGGCUCCUCCUUGACAGCAGUCUAAAGCAGCUGGGAAAACUGCGUUCAGAUGAAUUUGAUGACCUUGUCAGAAUAAAUGCUUAUGUCUCAGCGCAAAGAGGCCGGUGUCUCCAGAUCAGGGGUGAUGGACGGGCCUUCCCAUAGGAUGAAUGUUUGUUGAUUACUGAAGCAUCUGAGUGAGCCACGGUCGUUUGGGUUACGGUCUCUCGUCAGUGCCAGUAGCGAUGGAAGAGUAUCUGGCCAUCUUUCAGCUGCGUCUCACCCCAUUAAAAGCUGUGAGAUUAUCAGAUCCCCUCUCAGAAGACAGUAAAAUCAUGCUGGCACAUUAACACCAUGACAGACGUGCCCUGGACAUUUGUCAUCAGUGACAAAUAAUUUUUCUGUUUCAAAUAUUCCAGUUUAAUAAACAGGUAAUCAUAAUGUUCCUGACUUCUGAAGAAAUCUGCUUGGAAAUUCUACUGUGUAAUCAAUGGAGCUAGAAUGACCCUGGGGAACGGCUCAUGUUUCUGUAGCUCCUUCUUACCUCUCCUCACUCCUCAUUGUCCUCUAAACGCCCUGCUCAUCAGGCACUGAAGCUGUUCAGGAUGUGGUCCUAUCCCAUCUCUCUGUCUUCAUUUCUUCACACCCCGCACCUUUCAUAGUAGCUCCUCCAGCUUCCUAAACCAUGCUGAGCUUUCUGAGCACACUGCAGUUUCUUAUUUCUGACCUUUGUGCUGUUCUGUCUCAAAUGCUAGAAUGUUCUUCCUUGCUCUGCUUUGCCCAAGCAGCUCUUUCUCCAGAGCCCUGCUGAGGUGUGACUUCUUCCUGGGUGUUCCUUGCCAUUCUUGGUGAGGGCAAGCAUCCCUCCAAGGGCUUUCAUGGCUCCUCUCAUGGCCGUUUGGGUGCUGUGCCUCCCCCCUGCAUUGUAAUUGCUUGUUUAUAUUUGCUGGACUUUGAGCUCCUCUGGGGAGUGGAUCUCAGACUCCUCCGGGGCAUCGGCCUCACCUGGAGGGCGUGUUAAGGCUCAGCAUGCUGGGCCCAGAGUUCCUGAUUCAGUAGGUGAGGAGUGGAGCCUGAGAAGGUCAUUUCUUCAGAAGCUCCCAGUUGAUGCUGAUGAUGCUGGUCUGGGGGGCUGCGCCGCGAGGACCCCCGCUCUGGGGCAAGGACCGGGUUUGCCUUCUUCAUCUCUGUAUCCCUGGGAUCUGGGCCGUCUUGGUAGUUGAUAGUCAGGAGGUACCCGUUAGUGUUGAACGAAUGAGUGCCGUCGAAGAGGGUUAUCGUGGGUCCUGUGGACCCCAGGUGUUUCCAUAAUAUGCAGAGGGAAAUCUGAAUGCUUUCAGAAGAUUGAUGAUGAAAGUAGUGGGGGAAGAGGCAGGGCCUGGCACGCAG
ensembl:lncRNA